GCUGCUGAGGAGAGAAAAAAAAGGGAGAGAGAGGGGAGAGGGGCGAUUCCCGGCCAGGGGGCCGGUCACCGGCCGGUCGCCGGAACGCCGUGCGCCACCGUCGCCGGCCACCGUGCACGGUGGCCAGAGUUUCGAAAAAGGUGAAGAGGCGGUGGAGCAGAGGCCACUUGCAAGAGAUGUGACUAGGGGCGGUAGGAUAGGUGAUUUAGGGUUUCAAAUUUUGAAACCUAAAAUUUUUGGGCUAGUUAGGUCAGAUUGGGAUUAGUUUUGGGUAGGUUUUGGUUGUUUGGGCUUCUGUUAGGUUUAGUGGGUUGUGGGUUUUGGGCUAGGUAGGUUUUAAGGAUUUGGGCCCAAAAUUGGGCUUGUACAAGCCUUCUUUAAAUAAGUGUUGUAGGCUUGUAAAUAUUUGCAAUCUGACUUCUAUAUGACAUCAAUUGUACUUAUAUAGAAAUUAGGGGAGUAAAACUCGAUUCUAUUUUAAAAAA